rnacentral:lncRNA from 1 species
UGCUUGAUCAUUUCAGAGCUGUUGUCUGAAGAGAGUUCCUUAGUUCUGCUGUAAGUUGUACAGCAUCCAGUUAAUUGGCGGCCUGUGUAUAGGUAAGUAAACUCGUAUAUGACAGAACUUUGGUAUUUAAUUUCUGUUCCAUCUUUCAAAGAGGCGAAGGAGUUAGAGUCAGGUGUUUUCUAGUUGAUAAUAAAUUUACAGAGAAAUGUUAGCAGAGUUUUUUCCGCAUCCCACCGGGCACACGACGUUGUUACAACAUUGAAAUUUGGUAGAAAAAAGGUUGCGACGUCGACAACCUAAUAUCUACGUUACUCUGACGUUGUUUUACAAACAUUGGUUCAACAGCAGCCAACAGACGUUGAAUUAACGUUCAUUCAUGGUUGAAUGUACGACGUCGAUUUGUGAACCAAUCUCAACGUUGUUUUAACGUGGAUUCAACGUUGAAUUAUGGUUGACGAAAUUGGCAACCUAAUUUCAUCGUUGUUUCAACGUCGAAACAGUAACGUUGAUUCAAUUUGCAUAGUCAACCAUUUUCAACGUCUAUCCAACGUCUGGAAGGUCAUUUUCCAACGUUGAUUCAACGUUGGAUAAACGUCAUUUUGCCCGCUGGGAUAUGAAUGGGCGGGUUAGUCUAGUUCCAAAUAGCUGUGUCAAUGAUAGCGCUUGCUACUAAGGUCUUUAGCAAACAAAAGGUUGUAAAAUGGAGGAAGAGAGUCAAAUAUUUCAUGCGAAUCUGCCGAGUUUUGUUUACGUCUUCGACCAACCAAAUUCGCUAUCAUAUUUUAUGAGAGUUGCCGAGUUUUUUUUAACUUUCUCGACCAAUCAAAUUCGCUCAAUAUGAUCCCGCAUCGUCCCAUGAAAUUUGUCAGAAAAUUCCAAAUGUGUUGUACAUUUUUUGUUGUAUCCAAAUUUUCUUAGUUUCGUGUGUGAAGUGAGCAUGUAUGUGCGUGUCGGUAAAAUAGUUUCCUUCCUUUCUAAUAUUAUGAGAGACCUUAUAUAAGAUUGACGUUAACCAACAGCAAACCGCUAAUCGCAAACUAUUACUCGCUUUUGGAAGUAAGUUAAACGCGUUUUCGACAGAGAUGUAUAGCUAAUUCAUAUUCCAAUUUUAAUGUACAAAUUGUUCUAACUUCGAAAGGUUAACUUUUUACUUUAAAAUACGCCGGAUUUGAAAUUUGCCGCUGUCUGUUAGCUGCCUCCACUAAACGUCAAUCUUAAGUUCUCUAUAUAGACAUGCACGUCACGGCUACAUUCACAAUGCAAUAUCGAGCCUUCCAUGCCGUUUAACUAAACCCUCAUUCAUGGCUACAAAAACAAUUGCUGGAACAUUCUCACGGUAAUACAAUGAAUAUUUAUGGACAAAAAAUUUGUUUGACCACAUUUUCAAAAGAAAUUACUGGUAAUGCUAACGGUGUAAAAUAUUUCUAUUAUGGGUUAAAAGAAUAUUUAUAUGGAUUCAUUUCCUGUUUUGACAAAUAAGAUUCUUGCCUUUUACUAAAAUAAAAAUAAAUUGACUGAAUUAUUCGCACAUGAAAGUGCAUGGGACGGCAGAUAAAUUUCUGUCGCAAAAAAGGCAAAAUAGUGGUUUCUUCCGAAGAACAUUACUGGGAAAGGUGGUGCUACAAUCUUGGACAAAACCAUUGAGACCAUUCCAGCCAAUAUUACAAAGUUAUUGAACAUUGACAAAACAAAGUUUGUCUCCCCCCCCCAAUUCAAUGUUGUGAACAACGCCGAAACAACUUUUGGUAAUAUACCAUGAUUCAAGCUCAACAUUGAGUUGGGGGAGCGGGGGUUUAAGAAUGGCAACAUGAUUCAACAUGGAGUUUAUCAUAAAAAUACACGACUUUUCUAUAGGGGAAAAUAGUCUGAACCAGUUAUGUCCAAGAUUGUAGCUAUGUGGAAGCGGGGGGAGGUUUUUCUCAGGGUAAGACCGAGCUAGGUUAGACCGAGGUUGGAUAGAGGUUCGACGCCACUUGACCAAGAUUGACCGUUCGCGACAUGUGGGCUGACAACAAUCGCACGUCCAUCGAAAUGCUCUCUGAAUUAAAUGGUACUUGCCAUACAGCUUGACUAGAAGUGCAUCAUAGUUUACACCAUCAUAUUCACCUCAAUCGAAGAUCCUUAGCUAAGAUUUUCCGCUCAAUAUUCUUCUAACUUUGCUGUUAUUUAAAAUACUAGUGCAUUUGUCUUCGGUGAACAACACCAACAUUCGCUUUGGAAUACGUUCUGCUAAUCUUCGACUCAUAUGCAUGUUUAUCAGUGAAUCAGCGAUGAAAUCGUUGAAUCGCAAACAGUAUAAACGUUGAUGACAGAUAAGAAUACCUCGUGAGGAUAGGAGUAAAUGAUUUGUGGGUAUGAUUGCAAGUUUUGUAUUUAUUGGGCAUUAUUUUGCAUUUAAUGAAUGUAACACUUACAAAAGUAGAGAUACUGAUAUACUGUUUGCUCGCUAUUUCACUGAGCAAUUCCAAAACAGUCAUUAACGCAGCUAUUAUAGCAACAGCUUCUGAAUAUCGGGAAAACAAAAUAAACGGUGUGAUUUAUACUGUACAUAGACAAUUGGUGGUUAAUAUUGCAAUUUUGCCCUAAACAACGGUAUGAUGAGUAAAGUGGCGUGUGCCUAUAUGUAGUUUAUCAGCAUAAGGAAUGGUAAUUAUUGCGGGCAUGAACUGACCAGGCGCGCAGGAAUAAGGAAUGUAAAGUGAAGAAAAAUCUCACAUUCUCACUGUCGAUGGACAAAUAUAUGAUACUAUAACAUGUAUGUAUAAUUAUUUUUGCUCUAUUUGGGCCUUAAUUUAUGAAUAAUUGGAAAUGACAAACUAUCGUGGUAUAUAAUUUAUAUAAAUGAUAAACUAUGGUAUAUAAUUUAUAUAAAUGCCUGCUAAGAAA